GACUCGCUAGCUCAGUUGGCAGAGCAAUUGCCUUUUAAGCAAUGGGUCUGGAGUUCGAAUCUCCAGCGAGUCACCA
rnacentral:tRNA from 1 species